GGGUUGUGAGGUUAAGCGACUAAGCGUACACGGUGGAUGCCCUGGCAGUCAGAGGCGAUGAAGGACGUGCUAAUCUGCGAUAAGCGUCGGUGAGGUGAUAUGAACCGUUAUAACCGGCGAUUUCCGAAUGGGGAAACCCAGUGUGUUUCGACACACUAUCAUUAACUGAAUCCAUAGGUUAAUGAGGCGAACCGGGGGAACUGAAACAUCUAAGUACCCCGAGGAAAAGAAAUCAACCGAGAUUCCCCCAGUAGCGGCGAGCGAACGGGGAGGAGCCCAGAGCCUGAAUCAGUGUGUGUGUUAGUGGAAGCGUCUGGAAAGGCGCGCGAUACAGGGUGACAGCCCCGUACACAAAAAUGCACAUACUGUGAGCUCGAUGAGUAGGGCGGGACACGUGGUAUCCUGUCUGAAUAUGGGGGGACCAUCCUCCAAGGCUAAAUACUCCUGACUGACCGAUAGUGAACCAGUACCGUGAGGGAAAGGCGAAAAGAACCCCGGCGAGGGGAGUGAAAAAGAACCUGAAACCGUGUACGUACAAGCAGUGGGAGCCUCUUAAUGGGGUGACUGCGUACCUUUUGUAUAAUGGGUCAGCGACUUAUAUUCUGUAGCAAGGUUAACCGAAUAGGGGAGCCGAAGGGAAACCGAGUCUUAACUGGGCGUUAAGUUGCAGGGUAUAGACCCGAAACCCGGUGAUCUAGCCAUGGGCAGGUUGAAGGUUGGGUAACACUAACUGGAGGACCGAACCGACUAAUGUUGAAAAAUUAGCGGAUGACUUGUGGCUGGGGGUGAAAGGCCAAUCAAACCGGGAGAUAGCUGGUUCUCCCCGAAAGCUAUUUAGGUAGCGCCUCGUGAAUUCAUCUCCGGGGGUAGAGCACUGUUUCGGCAAGGGGGUCAUCCCGACUUACCAACCCGAUGCAAACUGCGAAUACCGGAGAAUGUUAUCACGGGAGACACACGGCGGGUGCUAACGUCCGUCGUGAAGAGGGAAACAACCCAGACCGCCAGCUAAGGUCCCAAAGUCAUGGUUAAGUGGGAAACGAUGUGGGAAGGCCCAGACAGCCAGGAUGUUGGCUUAGAAGCAGCCAUCAUUUAAAGAAAGCGUAAUAGCUCACUGGUCGAGUCGGCCUGCGCGGAAGAUGUAACGGGGCUAAACCAUGCACCGAAGCUGCGGCAGCGACGCUUAUGCGUUGUUGGGUAGGGGAGCG
rnacentral:rRNA from 1 species